AUGAUCAACACCAGGAAAGAUAGAUCAAUUGCAGCUUUCAUCCAGGAACUAAACCAGCACAUUCGACGCCAGGAGAACCAGAUGUGCGCAGGCAUGAUAGAUCUGAAGAAGGCAAUGACUAGGAUUGCAGAACUGGAGGAAGAACUCAAGUCUACACGUGAAGAUUGUAAGGAGGAAAUCGUCAUACUAGUGGAAAAGAAUGAUGACCUGAUUAAGAAGACCGGAAUAUUCAUGGGAGACCCCACACCAGUAGAAGAAGACGAAGAACCCAAGGAGAUUCGCCCGAAAGACUACAUCAUCAUCGACGACACCGACUCCGAUCUUAGCGAUGAUGACUAUGAAGACGAAGCUGGAGCAUAUAUCAUGGAGUCUGCAACUGAGGAAUAUUUUUAG
rnacentral:rRNA from 1 species